rnacentral:lncRNA from 1 species
GACUUACAAUAGGCCAAUCACUAAACAUUCUUAGAUAUCGUUUAAAGCAAAAUGCAACGGAAUAUUAAAAGAAGAUGUGGUAUGAUAAACAAUUAGACAACCGUUUCCAAGAGACAAAAUGACACAGAAAUUAACAGUUAUAAGUCACCGUACCGCCUUCAACAAUGAAAGAGCCCAUACAGCUUACUCAACUAUAAAAGGCCCCGAAAUCACAAAUGUAAAACAAUUCAAACGAGAAAACUGUAUUAAUUUUUUUUUAAUCGAAAACAAAUAUGUAACACAGCAACAAAAAACAACCACUGAAUUACAGGCUCUUGACUUGCGACAGGCACAUACAUGCAUAAUAUGGCAAGGUUUCAGAUAGCAGCGGGAUCCCAUCCCUAACCUGGUACAGUGGUGUAACACUAAAACAUAAGAACAAAC